rnacentral:rRNA from 1 species
AAGGUAACCAGCUUGUCUGGUAUAGGAACUUGAAGACGUGGGUUCCAAUGAGAAUUAGGUUGUAGCUCCAGCGUUAGAAAAGGCAGCUAUGCUUGAGAGUUUUUUUUAAUGCGACAAUAGGGAUUCCAUAAAAAAAGAAGGAAGUAGGUUCGUACCUAGGAACCAAAUGCAUAACCAUAACUUAUUUUUCUUUUCGAAACAAAGAAGAGGACAGCGGGGUUGGUUUGUUUAAAAAAUUGGGGGUUACUGUGUGGUAGGAAUGGAGCCCUGAAUUUAAAAGACAUUUUUAGAUAUCCCAGAAGAGCAGAUUAUUUUAAUAGAGACGAAAAAAUGUCUUUUUAUUUUAAGUUACAAAAUGGACUCUGUCGAAUUUGGAGUAACUUAGCAAGUAAGGUCGGUAGUUAAUUUUCUGAUUACUAAUACGAUGGAAGCGUGCCAGUCCCAUGGCGCCGAGAA